rnacentral:rRNA from 1 species
GACAGAGGUGCCGAGCGUUAGGCGGAAUCACUGGGCUUAAAGCGUGUGUAGGCGGAUUGGUAAGUACCUUGUGAAAUCCCACGGCUUAACCGUGGAACUGCUUGGUAUACUGCUUAUCUUGGGCCACUUAGGGGCUAGCGGAACAAACGGUGGAGCGGUGAAAUGCGUAGAUAUCGUUUGGAACGCCAAUGGUGAAAACAGCUAGCUGGGAGUGUGCCGACGCUGAGACACGAAGCCAGGGGAGCGAACGGG